AUUGAACGCUGGCGGCAUGCUUUACACAUGCAAGUCGAACGGUAGAGGGGGCAACCCCUUGAGAGUGGCGAACGGGUGAGUAAUGCAUCGGAACGUGCCCAGUCGUGGGGGAUAACGCAGCGAAAGCUGUGCUAAUACCGCAUACGAUCUCUGGAUGAAAGCGGGGGACCGAAAGGCCUCGCGCGAUUGGAGCGGCCGAUGUCAGAUUAGGUAGUUGGGGGGGGUAAAGGCUCACCAAGCCAACGAUCUGUAGCUGGUCUGAGAGGACGACCAGGCACACUGGGACUGAGACACGGCCCAGACUCCUACGGGAGUCAGCAGUGGGGAAUUUUGGACAAUGGGCGCAAGCCUGAUCCAGCAAUGCCGCGUGCAGGAAGAAGGCCUUCGGGUUGUAAACUGCUUUUGUACGGAACGAAAAGGUCUGGGUUAAUACCCUGGGCACAUGACGGUACCGUAAGAAUAAGCACCGGCUAACUACGUGCCAGCCGCCGCCGUAA
rnacentral:rRNA from 1 species